rnacentral:misc_RNA from 1 species
CCAAAAAUUCCCAAUUCUAAAAACAUGAAUUUUUACAAAUCUACAAAGCCUAGUUCUUGCAGAAAGAAAUUCAAUUACAAAAUAAAUGGGUAUUCAAUCACCUAAAAUGCAUUUCUUUACGCACAACAGCUUAAUUUCUACCCUCAGCUUUCCAAGCUGAAUAUUAAUAAGAUGCACACUGAUCAUCUCAUUCACCAUGUAUCUAAGAAGUGUCAGACAUCUCCCGGAACCUAGCAAGAGCCUUCUUAUGAAUGAGAGUUUUGUAACUAUCUCCGGCCUGCACCUCAAGACUAGGAUCCAAUUUCUUCUGUUGACUCCCAAGUCCUGCUCGAUUUUCCAUGGCUUGUGCUUGGACUGGUUCAAUCAUUCCACUUCCAUCCUUCCCCAAACCCAAGCCUUCUUGCCAGCCCAUAUUGCGAAGCAUUCGAUUGCCCACGUUGCUCUCAUCAAUAGCCUUGUCUGCUGUAAUCACCUCAUAACUCUGAGCAUUGACAUUGGCAUCUCCAACCCCACGCCCUCCACCAACACCAGGAGGGAAAGGCAUUGAAUCCGAAGAACCCCUUUUGAAUGGCAAAUCCCGAUCUUGAAAGUUCAAGAAUAAUAAACACAAAGGAUGCCUCACAAGUUAACGGAGAUAAAGAGAGAUGCAAGCAAUGGACCCAUCAAC